GACAGAGGUUGCAAACGUUGUUCGGAAUUACUGGGCAUAAAGCGCACGUAGGCGGUCCGUUAAGUCAUGUGUGAAAUCCCCCGGCUCAACCGGGGAAUUGCGCCUGAUACUGGCGGGCUAGAGGUCGAUAGGGGUGAGCGGAACUCCAGGUGGAGCGGUGAAAUGCGUAGAUAUCUGGAGGAACACCGGUGGCGAAAGCGGCUCACUGGAUCGAAACUGACGCUGAGGUGCGAAAGCUAGGGUAGCGAACGGG
rnacentral:rRNA from 1 species